AUUACGUAUUGUUUCGUCUAGUCGUACGACAUUGUGUUUGCUUGGAUAUAAGAACUCUUUGGUAUAUAAUAUUUAAAGUUAGGAAUAAAAAAAAGAAAAGUAUAAAUAUGGCAACAUUUUAACACGAUAUCUAAGCCAGUUAGACGUAAGAUAUAUAAUUAUGUAGGUAUGCAUUAUAACUUGUUAUUCUUAUCCUUAUUCAGAUACAUCUUUUGAGUAUUUUAUUAUAUUGAUGUAGAAAACCCAAAUAGUAAAACAGUAUAUAUUACAGGUUAAAUAUAAUUUAAGUAAACUGUUUCCCGGAUACUAAAUCAUAUUAUUCAGAUUGUUUUUGUACCAAAAAUUGCUAUAUUCCAUUUUAUUGGGUAUUGAAAUUUACCUAUUCAAUUAAAUAGUUUCUAUAUAUCCUUCUUAUGGGACUUAAGUAUUAGAAGUUUAUCUAUUUAUUUAAACUGCACUGAUUUCUGGUAUAUUAUACGUCAGACAAAUAUGUAUUUUUUUAUAAUCUGAUAAUAAUCAAAUAAUUAUCUAAUCAGAUAACAGUUCCAAUCAAUACAUAGACCGCAUGCGCAAUCAUUGCUGUUAUACGUAUAAAAUUGAUUUCAUCACACUACACUUGAUGACACAUUAUGAUUAAAAUUAAUGUUCCUAUUUAUAUAAUUAAAAUUGCAUAUCAUCAUUUAUGAGCAACGCUCGCCAAUCCAUUAUUUUAGAGACACAAAAACGUUUUUAAACCAAAGGGGGCGAGCGCAGGAAUAACAUUUUCAGUAAUUUAUAAAAAUAAAUGCAUCUUAAUUUAAUGAUACAAAAUGUUCAACGUCCUGUGUCUCAAAUUCAAGUGAUGUAAAGCUUAUCACGAAAAAUACCGCUAUAAUGUAGCAAUGCGGGAGUGACAACAACAAUGCAAUAUAACGUGUGCCGCCAUCUCCAACGCAUCAGUUGCUCGCUAAACCAGUAACACGCAAACAAACAAGAUGGCGCGCAUUACUUUGUUGUUAUUUUGUUUUGUCCUUGUUUCCUGGUGUGAUGGAUAUUUGAUAAGAGGAAGAAGUUUCGAUGACAUCAAUACGAAAGAGAUUGAACUGAUUAAAGUAGACGGUAAUAUAAUCGACGGUGAUAUAGAUGAUUCGUCACCGCCCGUGAUUGAUAUCUUCGGUAAGAAGAAAUGUGCUGCCGUUGGAGAAUUCUGCAACAAUCACAGCGACUGCUGUUCUAAUUCCUGCUUAGGUUAUAUGAAGAGGUGUGUCUCAUAAAUUGAAACAAAUAUAGGUUAAUAAAUAUUUUAAUGCUCA